AUUUCUAUUACAUCACAAUGUUGCGGGAUCCAGUGUCACGUUACCUGAGUGAGUGGAAACACGUCCAGAGAGGGGCCACGUGGAAAACCUCUCUCCACAUGUGUGAUGGAAGAAGCCCCACCCCCGAUGAGCUGCCUACCUGCUACCCUGGGGACGACUGGUCUGGGGUCAGCUUGCGGGAGUUCAUGGACUGCAGCUACAACCUGGCUAACAACCGCCAGGUGCGCAUGCUGGCUGACCUCAGCCUCGUGGGCUGCUACAACUUGACUUUCAUGAAUGAGAGUGAAAGAAACACCAUCCUGUUGCAGAGUGCAAAGAACAACCUAAAGAACAUGGCCUUCUUUGGGCUCACCGAAUUCCAGAGGAAGACACAGUUUCUCUUCGAGAGGACAUUCAACCUCAAGUUCAUCUCCCCCUUCACACAGUUCAACAUCACACGGGCUUCCAAUGUGGAGAUCAACGAGGGUGCCCGCCAGCGCAUUGAGGAGCUGAACUUCCUGGACAUGCAGCUUUACGAGUAUGCAAAAGAUCUCUUCCAGCAGCGCUACCACCACACCAAGCAGCUGGAGCACCAGAGGGACAGGCAAAAGAGGCGGGAGGAGCGGAGGCUGCAGCGGGAGCACAGGGUCCACCAGUGGCCCAAAGAGGAUGGGGCCACAGAGGGGACUGUCACUGAGGACUACAACAGCCAGGUGGUGAGAUGGUGACCCCCUGCCCUCUCCUCUCUCUCAGGAGGGGGAGGAUGAGCAGGGCAUUGACCUUCUGUUGCAUUACCUUGGAUGAUUUGGGACCAUCUGAGGACAUCUGGCUGUAUGUGGCUUGAUUUGGACAUCUGCUUCCUUUGUCUUCAUUUUUACCCAGAUGGAGAUUAUCCCCUUUUGUUCUUGACAUUUUUUCAAUCAGUGGUAUUAAGUAGGGUAGGAAUGCAUCAAAUAUAGACUACUUUAGAAGGUCAAGGAGAGAAGCACCCUGAAAGAAAGAGUCCCUGCACUCUCCUUUGCAGUGGCAGAGGUUACAGUUUGGGUACUCACAGAGGCACAUGUGAAAAGCCAAAGCACGGCUUGGAUGUUCUGCUGAAACUGGUCUAUUUUCUACUGUCUCUGCCAUGAGAAUAUUGGUCUGUCUAAAGAGAGAGGAAGAGAAGAAACUUCCAGGCCCUAGAUGAGGUUUUAUGCCAACCCUCACUUGGCUAUCGGCCCUCAUCUUUGAACUCUAUUUGAAUGUGAUUUAAAUCAUAAGCAGAGUAAGGUGUUUUGUUUUUGCAGUUGUUUUUAAACAAAAUGACCCUGCUCUUGAUCAUUAGAUACCUAAAUUCUGCAAACCCCCAGCACCAUAGCCCUAAGCCAUGUUACAGGGAGUGGAUACAGGACAGGGAUGGUGUGACCCCUGAGAAAAGAACAUCUGUAGGGGCACGUAGGAGAACUUGCCUGUUUACUAAUGCCUAAAGCGAUCACACUUCACUCAUUUUUAUUUCAAUGUGAAGAAUGAAUGAUAAAUUAAGAGAGAAGAAAAACAGGAAGAUAACUGUAUGUCUAACAUUUCCAAACUGACUACAAAAUGUCAGUUUUUAAAGGAAUAUUUCAGAGUUUAACGUUUUUGGAGCAGUCAUCUUCUUUGAUAUGGUACUGCCAGCUUUGAAAUUCUGCUAUCACAAAGAAAAAGACCUUUAAGAAGACCUUGGUCUCAAGAAUAGGAGCUUAGGUAGCAUGUAUAUAAAAUAUAUUCAGUAUUACUAAAUGAAUAACUGAUUUAGGCCAGCAGACCUGGAACACCAUUAAUGGGAUGGUUAUCCUAGGAGUUUAGAUAGACUUAACCUCCCAACGUCUUGAAUAUCUUCAGCUUGAUAAAACUAUUUUCUUCCCACAUGAUCUUUACCUGUCGUUAGACUGGGCAACAGCUGGCAAAUCAGGCUUGAAGCUUUUUGGCAGCCUACUCUUGGUAACUGGAUAAAACCGCCCUGAGAAUUAUUUGGAUACUCUUACUAAUAACCAACAAUUUUAACAAUCAGUGUUAGAUGAUCAUUAAGAAUACCAUGUAUGUUAUUAAAAAAAUAUAAAGAUAUGUUUCUUCUUUUCUAAAGGAGGUAAUUUUGUCAUAAAUAGUUUGAUCAAAGGUGUGAAAUAUGAGGAUCCAUUUGGUUACACUUUAAAUAAAGUUUUUCAAAAGUAUGAGUACUAAUAUUGGGAAGGAAAUCUACCAGAUAAACCUAGCAAGGAGGUGAGAAUAGAUAAUUUAAAAAUAAAUACAAGUAUAUUGAAUAGGAUUCCCAUUUGGCUGUUUUAACAGAGAAACUCAAAAUAAUAGUAACUUCAAUAAGAUCGAAGCUGUUUCUCUCUCAAAGACAAACUGGUUUGAUAGCUCUGGUAUGUAAUAUCACCAGAAGUCCAGGCCCUCUCUUGCUUUAAUGUGCAGCAUGCACCUCAUGGUCCAAGGUGGCUGCUGUAGCUCCUGCCAUCACAUCUACAUUUAAGACAACAGAGAGGAAAUGGAAGGGAGGUGCACAUACUGAUUCCAGUCACAUCUCAUGGACUAGAACCUUGACAUUAGCUAUAUCUAGCUGCAAAGAAGGAUAGGAAAUGUUUUUACUAUUGGUUGCCAUGCACCUUAUAAAUGUGGGAGCUCUAUUAUUAAAGAAACAAUGUAAAAUCUAUCAGUCUCUGAUGCAAAAGAGAAUUGAAAAAUAUUUCAAGUGUUUUUCAAUGUCAUUUAUUUCAUCAUAUGUUUUGCAAAGGAUAAGAUUAAAAUUCAUCACUUUGUAUAGCAUUUAAUGCUUUUCAAAACAUUUUUACAUUUAAUAUCUCAUUUGAUCUUUAUUACAUUUUUGUGUGUUAAUAGGACCUCUAUUCAUUAUCCCAUUUGAAAUGGAGAUUCAGAGAUGUUGAAAGAUUUCCCAAAGAUUCUAAUUUAUUAGCAAGAAAGUUGCUCAGAGACCUAGUCUUUUGACUUCAUAGCUUUUCCUACUACUUUAUGCUGCUUAACAUUGGUAUUGGGAUUGGGAAUUGCAAGAAUAUGAAAUCUAAAUCUUUAUUGAUUUAUAUCAUCCCUUACCUUUUUAUGGAAAUGCAGUGGCUUAGAAAAUGUUUCUCUCUCCAAGAAGACUGGUCAAGUUGACUCUCAACUCCCUCUCUCUUAGCAAUGAAAUGCCCACGCAAUGGGCAAUGUUAUAGGAGGGACUGGGAAGCUCUCAAACUCAGGGGAGAUAUUCAGACAACCUGUUGCUGGGUGUUCACCCCAUCUGACCCAAAAACUAUUAAAGAUGAAGUCUGUUGGAAUGUGCUCACAACGGCUUAAGGAAGCUCAGCAUUAGAAAUAUUCAGAAUCAGUAGCUGUCUGAUUAGUGAAGCUUAAGGAGUGAUCAAUAGAACCCCUUCUCAAAAAAGAUCUCCUGUUCUCUACUCCUUCCCCAGGUCCCUGGUAUUUUAUCAGCAAUGUAUUGCUUUAUUCCUUAAAGGUUUUAUUUGCUGUUAAAUGAGUCCCUUUGCACAUUUACUGGAGAGAGGAAAUGCUUCAGGCUGUCAUAAGCUGGCAUCUUCACUGAGAGGGUUUAUAUAAUUUCUUUCCAACCAUGACCCCCAGCUGAGAAGAAGGUCCCAUAUAGUGGGAUCAUGCAGAGUUAGGGGGUUAGGGAGAGUAGGGUAACUAUAGAGGAAAGUGGCUCCUGAAAGGGGGCAGAUCUUUCACAGGUGGAAAGAUGAUGAAUUAAAUAUGUGCCAACCAAUACUGGAAAAUAGGAAAAUGACUAAGAUGCAAUUUCUCUCCUCAAGAACAAGGGCAGGCUGGAAACAUGUGGACUGUAAUUCUUUUAGCCAUUUAGAAGAACAGAAAAGGAAAUGAGGCUCUUGAGGUGGAACCUGAGCUUUAGGAUGGUUUUAGUGACUGAAGCCUGAUUGAUGAGUUGGCGGAGCUGGGUCAAAGAGAAAGCUGGGUUGGACUUGGGCAAGAACACCCUGAUCUGAUCACAGCUAUGACUCAAAGGGUUUCCUUUCCCAUUGUUAUUUCUCAAUGGUCACCAGAACUCUAACUGAAAGUCCUCAGGCUGGGUUCAGGGCUGGCUGAGGCUGAUAUUUCUACCUGCUUUGUGUCAUCUGGGGAAUAUGCAAUGGUUUUUUCUCCAAGGCAAUUUGGCUUUCCUUUUUAUCCUCUUUCUCUGUCUCUACUGGAUGUAAGCCAAUGCCUGCAGUUCUGUCACCAUGUUCACCUAGAUGCAUCUGAACUAAUUCCCUGAAACUUUGAAUUAACCCUUCUGUGUAAGUGGGCAGGUCCUUUGCAGCCUAAUGGAUGAAAUGCACACAGAGCCAUCUUCCCAGAAUAUUGACAGAAGCAACCAGCCUUGCAGAGAUGCUGAGAUUUCCAAAGGACUGGCCUGCCUAUGAACACCAGCAACACUUGCAAGACAAAAGCCUCUGAACUUCCAGGCAAGGAUGAAGUAACCUAAUGGAACUCUGGAUCUGAGAACGCGUACACAUAAAUGUUUCUUGAGCCUAUGUUCUAAAUUGUCUAUGGAAAAGAUUGAGACUGUCAUCCUUUGACACAUUAAGUGGAACUUCUGUGAGUUACAUGUUCUGCCUUGCUGUAGAAAGGGCCAGAUGUCAGUGCUGAAAAACCAGUUCUUGCCGGGGAAAUCAGUGUUCUUAGGAGCAGAGUUUUGUCAUUCAUGAUUUUUGUCAACGUCACAUUUGUCUUCCACUCCUUGUCAUUGUUCUUAAUGAUGUGGUCAUCUUUUCUUUUUUUUUCUCUCUCCCUAUUUUUUUCCCCCAGAAAUACUUUCUGGGUUUUGCUUGCAUUAUUUUUCUUUUAACAUAUCAAUUCAGUGAAAGAAAGAAAAAUCUGGACCUUUAUCUCGUGCCCAUUUUAGAUGUAAAGAUAGUUAUUCAAUAGAUAGUAAAUUAUUUCUCCUAAGAGAUAUUUCUUUUAGUUUCUGUGCAAUUAUAUGUACGAAUUCGGUUAUUAGGAGACUGUAUUGUGAUAUUAUCAAACUUUAUUGCUAUUUAAAAAUGAUAGUUUGUAGAACUGAGGAUUUCCAUUGAUGUGAAGCACAAUUUAAUGAAUAAGUUAACAUAUUAAACUGUUGUGAUGUCAAGAA